UACGGGGGGGAGCAAGCGUUGUUCGGAUUUAUUGGGCGUAAAGAGCGUGUAGGCGGCCAGACAGGUCCGUUGUGAAAACUCGAGGCUCAACCUCGAGACGCCGAUGGAAACCGUCUGGCUAGAGUCCGGAAGAGGAGAGUGGAAUUCCUGGUGUAGCGGUGAAAUGCGCAGAUAUCAGGAGGAACACCGGUGGCGAAGGCGGGUCUCUGGGCCGAUACUGACGCUGAGGAGCGAAAGCGUGGGGAGCGAACAGG
rnacentral:rRNA from 1 species